rnacentral:rRNA from 1 species
GCAGCGGAGCGUGUGGUUUAAUUCGAUGCUACACGAAGAGCCUUACCUGGGUUUGACAUGUACGUAGUAGUGAACCGAAAGGGAACGAGCCUUCGGGCAGCGUACACAGGUGCUGCAUGGCUGUCGUCAGCUCGUGCCGUGAGGUGUUGGGUUAAGUCCCGCAACGAGCGCAACCCUCAUCGCUAGUUACAUGUGUCUAGCGAGACUGCCAGGUUAACCCUGGAGGAAGGUGGGGAUGACGUCAAGUCAGCAUGGCCUUUAUGCCCAGGGCUACACACACGCUACAAUGGUCGGUACAAUGGGAUGCCAAGCCGUGAGGCGGAGCAAAUCCUCAAAGCCGGCCUCAGUUCGAAUUGGAGGCUGCAACUCGCCUCCAUGAAGUCGGAGUUGCUAGUAACCGCAGGUCAGCUAUACUGCGGUGAAUACGUUCCCGGGGCUU